rnacentral:rRNA from 1 species
GAUGAACGCUGGCGGCGCGCUUAACACAUGCAAGUCGAACGAGAAGUGAAGACGGAACCCUUCGGGCGGAAGGCUUUAUUUCGAGUGGCGGACGGGUGAGUAACGCGUGGGUAACCUGCCUCAUACAGGGGGAUAACAGUUGGAAACGACUGUUAAUACCGCAUAAGACCACAGCACCGCAUGGUGCGGGGGUAAAAACUCCGGUGGUAUGAGAUGGACCCGCGUUCGAUUAGCCAGUUGGCGGGGUAACGGCCCACCAAAGCGACGAUCGAUAGCCGAUCUGAGAGGAUGACCGGCCACAUUGGGACUGAGACACGGCCCAAACUCCUACGGGAGGCAGCAGUGGGGAAUAUUGCACAAUGGGGGAAACCCUGAUGCAGCGACGCCGCGUGAGUGAAGAAGUAUUUCGGUAUGUAAAGCUCUAUCAGCAGGGAAGAAAAUGACGGUACCUGAGUAAGAAGCCCCGGCUAACUACGUG